AUUUAUUGAUAAUACCCUUGGGCAUUUGAGCAUUUACUCCCCCAUUGGACAAGUGGAGUUCAGUCCUUGAGGGAAUGAUGGCAGGUCUGUGCAUGUUCUCCCUGCCUUCUACUGGGAGGGAUUAUGGUGUGAGUAAAAGCCAGCUGGGGCAGGGAAAUGGGCCCUCAAGCUAGCAGUCACAAGAUUAGCCUCAAAGGGCUCAUUACAAAGGAUGGCUGAAAUCCAUCAGGAAGUAGGGGACCUUGAACCUAUCCUUGGAAAAGGAUUGUGCUUUGUUACAGUGAAGCUGAGGGGCUUUUUGCAUCCCACUUUUCAGCCAACUCCUGAACAUUUUUCCUGUCUGCCCCCUCCCCUGUAUUCCUAUCACUACUACUCUGGUACAGCCUCUCUACUUUUCACCAUGAAGAGGGGGAAAAUGAGAGAGAGAGGGAGAGAGAAAUAAAUGGAAAUAAAUAAAUAGUGGGGAAAAAAGAUUACAAUAGCCUCCUGGAUGGUUUUUCUGUCUCCAAACUCAACUUCAGUCAGCCUCACAAUCCAGGUCCACUUACUUUCUGAAGCACUCUUUCUAAUACCCAGGUCAGAUCUUAUUUCUCCCCACUUAUCACCUUCACUAGUUUCCCACUGCCUUCAGCAAAAGGUCAGGCUCCCUAACCCCCUUGGUAUAUGCCCCACCUGCUCUCCAGCCUCACCCUAACUCCCCUCCCCUUCACACUUUCCUGUUCCCUGAAGAUGCCACUGCUGGCUGUAUCAUUGUACAUGCUGUUCUUCUUACCUGGAAUACCCUUCUCCCCUUCUCUGCCCAUCUGAUAAACUGACUUAUCCUUCGAAACAUUGCUUAAGUUUCGCCUUCUCCCUGAAGCUUUCCUGUCCAGGCCUUUUGCCUGGGCUUAUUCCCACCUUCCUCUGUAGCACCUCUAUACCUUGCUACCCUCAAAACAGUAUUACUUGUAUCACCAGUAUCUGUACCAUUGAACAUUUGUCUUUAGGUAAGUAAGAUUGGGAAUUUGAGUCUCAGAAAUGGGAAAAGGCUUAUCCAGGGAUCCAUGGUGGAAUGUGGACUCAAAUCCAAAACAUCCCAGUUCCCCAGCAAGUGCCCUAUCUACUGCACCCUCAAAUAAUUAAUCAGAUUUCACACACACACACACACACACACACACACACACACACACGAAGAGCAUCAUUUGUUAGUGGGCUGAAACAGUACUAUUGAACAUUUGUCCUUAGGUAAGUAAGCCCUUCCAUAAUUCUCUGAAGUUCAUGAGGCAUUCUAGGGAAGAGACUGGACAAGAUGACCCCCAAGAUCCUCUGAACUCUGAUAUUUUAUGAAACACAGAAAAUUUGGCUAGGCGCAGUGGCUCACGCCUGUAACCCCAGCACUUUGGGAGGCCGAGGUGUGUGGAUCACCUGAGGUCAGGAGUUCGAGACAAACCUGACCAACAUGGUGAAACCCUGUCUCUACUAAAAAUAAAAAAUAAAUAAAUAAAUAAAUAGCCGGGCGUGGUGGCGGGCACCAGCUACUCAAGAGGCUGAGGCAGGAUAAUCACUUGAACCUGGGAGGCAGAGGUUGCAGUGAGCCGAGAUCAUGCCAUUGCACUCCAGCCUAGGUGACGGAGUGAGACUCCAUCUCAAAAAAAAUAAAAAAGAAAGAAACAG
rnacentral:lncRNA from 10 species